UCCCUACUGGCUCAGUGGUAAAGAAUCUUCCUGCAAUGCAGAAGAACCAGGUUUGAUCCCUGGGUUGGGGA
rnacentral:tRNA from 1 species